rnacentral:rRNA from 1 species
UACGUAGGGUGCAGAGUCAUGAAUUGAAUCUGGGCGUAAAGCGUGCGCAGGCGGUUUUGUAAGUCAGAUGUGAAAUCCCCGGGCUUAACCUGGGAACUGCGUUUGAAACUACAAGGCUAGAGUGUGGCAGAGGGGGGUGGAAUUCCACGUGUAGCAGUGAAAUGCGUAGAGAUGUGGAGGAACACCGAUGGCGAAGGCAGCCCCCUGGGUUAACACUGACGCUCAGGCACGGAAAGCGUGGGGAGCAAACGGG